UACGGGGGGAGCAAGCGUUGUUCGGAUUUACUGGGCGUAAAGGGCGGGUAGGCGGCCACCGCAAGUCAGUUGUGAAAUCUCUGGGCUUAACCCAGAAAGGUCAACUGAUACUGCGGGGCUAGAGUGCAGAAGGGGCAACUGGAAUUCUCGGUGUAGCGGCGAAAUGCGUAGAUAUCGAGAGGAACACCUGCGGCGAAGGCGGGUUGCUGGGCUGACACUGACGCUGAACUGCGAAAGCUAGGGGAGCGAACGGG
rnacentral:rRNA from 1 species